rnacentral:rRNA from 1 species
UACGAAGGGGGCUAGCGUUGCUCGGAAUUACUGGGCGUAAAGCGCACGUAGGCGGCUUUCUAAGUCGGGGGUGAAAUCCCGAGGCUCAACCUCGGAACUGCCUUCGAUACUGGCGACCUUCGAGUCCGGGAGAGGUGAGUGGAACUCCGAGUGUAGAGGUGAAAUUCGUAGAUAUUCGGAAGAACACCAGUGGCGAAGGCGGCUCACUGGCCCGGUACUGACGCUGAGAUACGAAAGCGUGGGGAGCAAACAGG